UGAUAGUUGCACUUGAUAAAAUGAUAGUUUCAGGGGAUAAAAUGAUAGUUUCAGGGGAUAAAAUGAUAAUUGGUGCUACGUUAGCUUCGGUUUGCUUUGGUUUAGAUAUAAUGCAGAGCGUAGCAGUUGGGAUGGCAGCGGCAAAAGGGGCCGUUGAAACAGAGAGCACCGUCCCCGUGAGUAUCAAUUGGCCAGAAUUGCAGAUGAUGCGGGGGUGCUAUCUACUCUGAAGCAAAAGUUAUCUACUGUGAGUAAAAGUUAUGACAUGUUGGAUCGAUAACUGUGGUCAGUGUCGUCUGUUUCUUGAAUCAUUGAUAUGUACAUCUUCAUUUGUGCUCUUGUAAUGGAAGUAUACGUUUUUUCUUUUUA